ensembl:lncRNA
AUUAUGUUUUUUAAGUUAGUAUUUUAAAAUUUACUGGUCAACAAAUAUUUUUUUUUUUUAAAUGUGUGAAUGUAUAAUUAAAUAUGUAUUAAGAUUUAUGAGAAUUAUAUAGUAUUUGAUUUAUUAAGAUAUUUAUAUAAAUUUUUUCCAAGCAUAUAUAUAUGUGUCACAUUCAGCAUCCACUUAGCUUACUAAUUCAAGAAGGCACAUGGCACAGUUUGGUGGGUAUACUGUGUGUGUGUGUGUGUGUGUGUGUGUGAGACCUCCUGUGCAUGCGUUUUUUUUGUUGUUUUUUUUCAUACAUGUAAAAGGCUUGCAUUUUUGAGUGAUUGAUUAGAUGAGUGAGUAAUGUGUGUGUGAGUGUGUGUUUAACAGUUAACGCGGCAGGGAGUGGACAGAAGGGCCAAGUGUGACAGGUGGACAGGCAUGAUAAGGAGAGAGCGGUGCAGCCCAGCGCUCAGCAGAAGCAGACCCCAGGAGAAUAUCCAGCCAAAAGCAGCUAAUAGCUGAUACUCAUCAGAGAUAGAGCCACUGAAGAUUUCCUUUCUCUGUGGAAUAGUCCGUUCAUUCAGCUCCAGCCCAAAUUCUCCUCCCUAAAAAUGUGAAAAGAUGUUGUUAAUCAAGUUUUAUACAACAGAACAGUUAAUGUUGGGACUGAAGGACUGUGCCAUGAUACGACGUAUAUCAAGGCUUUCUGCUUUACAGAUUUCACAUCAGUGUCUCAAUGCAAACUCAGCAAUGUUGUAACUCCAAGAAGAAGGGACACGAGCAACCCACUAAAUGUGUGUUUACACUGCUGAGCCCACACUUAUAAUUUUGUGAAUUCAAGCGGCAGCCCUAUGUGAGACCAUUUCAUGAAACUAAGAAAUUUUCAGGCAAGAGGAAGUUCACAGUCUCCAAGGCACCAAAUUACGCCAUUGAUCCGAACCCAAAAUGGCUCCAUGUCUGGCAUUUUCAGAGGCCGUUUCCAAGUCAAUGUCAUCCUAUCUGCCUUAAACUAAAAGAGACAAAUACGACUGGAAUAAGGUAAAGAUGGAGUGGUUGUCUUGCUGUUGUGCUGGUAUCAGACAUGGGCUCUUCAUCAGAUGACUAAUGGAGUUGUGCAGCUAACCAGGAGGCCCAAGGCUGUUUGUUAGCUCCUAACAAGGUGAACCAGCUCCUACGGAACAGCACACUAGCGCUGAAGGAUUUAUUAUAGAUCUGCGUGUCCGCGGGCCAUGAACAGUAUAGCGCCGGUCUCAUUGUAGUGGGUCCACCACACUAGCAGAGGGUUUAGAUCAUUAUUGCCUCAUUGUUUUGAUACAAUUUUGCAGAGCGGAUGAUGGAUGGAUGGAUAAUCGGAUGAGUAAAGGAGUUUUGGUAGCCUAGCACAUGAGGGUAAUGGAUGGACUGCAAAAACACACGAAAAUGAUAAGGAAAAGUGAGUUUUGAACAUGUUUUAUGAUGGAAUUUGGAAAAACAUUUUCAGUCUUUACACAUUUAGAUAGUUGACAUUGUUGAGUAGUGAUGUAGUAUGUUAUAAUUCACCUAAAGUUAUAUUAAACAGCAUUGUUUUUAAUAAUUAUAUAUUCAUUUAGAAAGACUUACUUUCUU